rnacentral:rRNA from 1 species
AACGAACGCUGGCGGCAUGCCUAACACAUGCAAGUCGAACGAGACCUUCGGGUCUAGUGGCGCACGGGUGCGUAACGCGUGGGAACCUGCCCUUAGGUUCGGAAUAACUCCCCGAAAGGGGUGCUAAUACAGGAUAAUGUCUUCGGACCAAAGAUUUAUCGCCUUUGGAUGGGCCCGCGUUGGAUUAGCUAGUUGGUAGGGUAAAAGCCUACCAAGGCGACGAUCCAUAGCUGGUCUGAGAGGAUGAUCAGCCACACUGGGACUGAGACACGGCCCAGACUCCGACGGGAGGCAGCAGUGGGGAAUAUUGGACAAUGGGCGAAAGCCUGAUCCAGCAAUGCCGCGUGAGUGAUGAAGGCCUUAGGGUUGUAAAGCUCUUUUACCCGGGAUGAUAAUGACAGUACCGGGAGAAUAAGCGCCGGCUAACUCCGUG